AUGGCAGGAUCUUUUCAACUGAAUACACAACCAAUCACAGUCUCGGUUUCAGGAUCAACAGGAAUGCCUGUACCUGUCAUGCUAACAACGGCAAAUGCAGCAAUAAAUCCCGGUGCCAAAGGAGACACAGAACCAGAUGAGCCUCCGGAGAAAAGAGCGAGAACAAGUCAACCGGACACGUGAUACAAAUCCAAUAAUGCUGUAUAUGUUAAACAUUGUACAUAAACAUACCAUAUGUAGGAUAGUGAUCAAGUGACAUUUGACACUUACAACAGUGUGAUAAAUUCUAUCCAUUUCUCUCUCUGGAUCAUAGGAAAAUAAAUCUGGUAUAGAUAGUACCAGGGUCGAAAUAAUCUCACUAAAUCACCACAAUGUUGUAUAGUUUUAUUAUUGUUAAGAACAUUUUAUCUGACAAAAAAAAAGAAGAGUGAAAAUAAGCUGAGUGAAAUAUUUUGAAUAUAUUUGAAACAUACUGAUCAAGUUCAGAUUUUUUUCUACUUUCAUGUUUAUAUGAUGUUAUUAUGGAAACGAUUGCAUGAAAGUUCCAUACUCUAGGGAACAUGUUUCAUAAAAGAUUUAACAUAAUCUCUUAUUGCAGCACAUUGUUUUACCAUUCUACCAUUGUACCAUUUUACACUUUUAACUAAUUGUGACUAAAACAAGAAUAAUUAUGAAGUAUGUUGUUGUCACAGGUGGCUGACGUCUAAUAUCCUCUUCAUACCUGCUUAUAUAUCAAUAAUAUACAUAUAGGGGUGUCAGACGUCGGGCACCAGUGGUUCCGUUGUUGAUUUUGAUUUUAUGAUUUUAGCUACCAGGUCUACUUUCCUGCGAUCCUGAUGUCAUUAUUAUCAUCAUUGAGUAACAAAAUUGUUGUGGACAGGUACGAGAAUUUUUGUCAAGGUUCUUUGAGAAUUAAGUUUAUAGGUUUCACUAAAUCAAUUUGAAUACCUUGAUAAUGAUUUGAUUUUCUAUUGUUUUUUCUUUAUUGUUUAAGUGUAACUUAGAUAAAAGAUAAGGCGUGAAAAUAAAAAAUAAUGAACUUCAGAGAACUUGAAAUUUCCUCUCUUGCAAAGAGUGUCACCAUUUUUUGGUGUCUAUAUCAAAUUUUCUUCAAUGUAAUAAUUAUUAUUUACAUGAAUCAGUUAUUUUUGAAAUGACCUGAUAAUAAUUCAAUUAUUCUGAAGAAUGUAUAUCGUCAGUAUUGUUUCAUUUGCUUAAAGAAGACUUUUCAAAAAUACUAUGUUAGGUACAACAUGUAUAUUUUAGGAACAAGAAAAGAUAACCAGUGUCAGCAUAAAACUUAGAUGUUUUAAUUUCCCUUAUAUUGUUAAGAUUUGAAGUAAACAAUUUUUUUUAUAGAAAUUUAUUCACGAGAAGUUGUAGAUAUUUUUUUGAAGUACAUUUUGUAUGUGCAUCAUUUAAAUGAAGUAAUCAUAAAGAUUAUUGUCAAGCUAUGAGAGUAUGUGGGAAGUUUCAUGGACUACUAUGUUAGAUAAUUUCAUGAUAAUUUUAUGAUUUCUUCACAUUUAAAAAUGCCUAUACAGCUUGUAUCAAGACUAUCUUGUAUCAAGAUACACUGACACAAAUUCUGACCCCUUACCUUGUUAAUUAUUCUUAGUAAACAAAAACUAAAGUACGAAAAGUUGUUUUGAGAAUAAUGUGAAUGUUUACAGGACAUAUUUCGAGAAUUGAUCGCAAAACUGAAGUAAUUUAUUUAAAGUAAACAAAGAUUUACAACAGUUUUGCAGUCAGCCCUCAAUUUGUUGAAGUUAUCGAGCAUUGUCAGUUUUAAUGUAUCUAUGUUAAAUCCAAAAUAUUCUUUACAUAGCAAACUAUGAAUGUGCUGGUUUUUAAUUAAAUAUUGUUAGAUAUGUUAUUUUAUUAGAUGUCUGAAUUUUACCUCACUUAAAAUUAUUUCUGCACAUUUGGUGGAUGACUUGCUCUGGGUAAUUUAUUUGUUUUUACCAAGACUCUUGUAUUUUUUAAAAAUUAUUAUGGUCAUAUAUUUUGCUUAAACUAUACCCAUGAAUAGAUAUUUCUUUUUUUAGAAACACUUCUCUACACAUUUUUCCUUAUUCAGGAAGAAAGUUUAUUGUGUACAAGUUAAGAUUCUGCUUAAAAAACUGUUUAUUAUACAUGGACAUAUAGGAAUUAUCAGAAAGAAAAUGAGGAUUGCGUAAAUAAACCAAUUACACUGACAUUGAUGCAUUUGAGCGGAGAAAUUGGUUAGAAAGCAAGUUUUACUGUUUUUGAGAUUGAAUAGAAUGUUAAUAAAUUAAAAUUCUAUUUUGAAAAUUAAAAUUUUGAAAAACAAAAGGAACUAAAACAUAUCUUGAAGAGUGUCUUUUUAUGGGUGAUAGUUGAUAUUUUAAAGUUGUGAUAAUAUACUUUAUUUAUAGGCACUAACGUCUGUAUAAACUCAUUGACAUUUUUCAUUUAAUUAUACAUAUGUAUCAUUGUAUAUAUGUUUGCCAUGUUACACCAUCAGGAGCAUAAAGAAAAUUUGGUGCACUCAACUGAAUGUGACAUUGGUUUACACAUCGUCAUUUUAGUGCAGUAACAAGAUAAGACCUUCUAAAUUAUAUAGGAGUUAACCAGUUAUUGCACAAAGCUGAUGACAUGUCUAAAUUUAAGUUGUCUUCUUAAACCCCCUUAUUUCCGGGCUGUUUGUUGAUUAUACAAAUUGUUUUUUUAUAUAGAAAUCUUUUGUCCUAUACUUAUUAAACCUUUGUUUGUAUGGUCAGAAAAAGGUGUUUUUGUUUCACUUUUGGGAUUUUUUUUUUUGUUUUCCUACAUAUUCUUUUGUAUUUUAACCUCAAGUUAAUAAUUUGAUUUAGUUUAAUACAAUACUCUGAUACUAUACAUUUAUAUACAUAUAUGUAUGUAGUUAUGUAUGAUAAAAUUGUAAAAUUAAACUUUCACUGAAUUUAUGAAAUGGACUCUUCCAACCUAUGAUAUGGAACAGUCUAUUAAUUCUAACAGUUGGUGUAAGAUUUGUAUGUUGACAACAAAUUUAGCAGCAAACAGAGCUUGGUCAAACUUCUUUAAUGUGCAAACUGUUAUAACUACUAAAGCAUCAGUCAGAUUUUAUAUAAAGGAUUACCUCUCAAAUUCAUUUUUGAAAAAAUACUACUAUACCAUCUUAUUUUGAACAUGUUGUUAUCUAUUCUUUUAUAGUUCAUGUAUAACAUAAUGUCUAUGUUUUUAUCAUGUUUUUAUUCUGCAUAACAUAUUCAUUGAUACACUGUUUUUAUUUUUUUUCAUCAUCAGACAUUCGUGAAAUUUUAUAUGAAUAAAUGAGUAUUUUAGAAGUC